GUGAGUAACGCGUGAGAAUCUGCCUUGAGGUCGGGGACAACAGUUGGAAACGACUGCUAAUACCGGAUAAGCCUGAGGGUAAAAGAUUAAUUGCCUGAUGAGGAGCUCGCGUCUGAUUAGCUAGUUGGUGAGGUAAAGGCCCACCAAGGCGACGAUCAGUAGCUGUUCUGAGAGGAAGAUCAGCCACACUGGGACUGAGACACGGCCCAGACUCCUACGGGAGGCAGCAGUGGGGAAUUUUCCGCAAUGGGCGAAAGCCUGACGGAGCAAUACCGCGUGCGGGAGGAAGGCCCUUGGGUCGUAAACCUCUUUUCUUAGGGAAGAAGACCUGACGGUACCUAAGGAAUAAGCAUCGGCUAACUCCGUGCCAGCAGCCGCGGUAAUACGGAGGAGGCAAGCGUUAUCCGGAAUUAUUGGGCGUAAAGCGUCCGUAGGUGGCUCGUCAAGUCUGCUGUGAAAGCGUGCAGCUCAACUCCGGAAAGGCAGUGGAAACUGUAGAGCUAGAGUGCGGUAGGGGUAGAGGGAAUUCCCAGUGUAGCGGUGAAAUGCGUAGAGAUCGGGAAGAACACCGGUGGCGAAAGCGCUCUACUGGGCCAUAACUGACACUGAGGGACGAAAGCUAGGGGAGCGAAAGGGAUUAGAUACCCCUGUAGUCCUAGCCGUAAACGAUGGGAACUAGGCGUUGCUUGUAUCGACCCGAGCCGUGCCGAAGCUAACGCGUUAAGUCUCCCGCCUGGGGAGUACGCACGCAAGUGUGAAACUCAAAGGAAUUGACGGGGGCCCGCACAAGCGGUGGAGUAUGUGGUUUAAUUCGAUGCAACGCGAAGAACCUUACCA
rnacentral:rRNA from 1 species